CCUACGGGAGGCAGCAGUGAGGAAUAUUGGUCAAUGGGCGCGAGCCUGAACCAGCCAAGCAGCGUGAAGGAUGACUGCCCUACGGGUUGUAAACUUCUUUUAUAAAGGAGUAAAGUGAGGCACGUGUGCCUUUUUGUAUGUACUUUAUGAAUAAGGAUCGGCUAACUCCGUGCCAGCAGCCGCGGUAAUACGGAGGAUCCGAGGGUUAUCCGGAUUUAUUGGGUUUAAAGGAAGGGUAGAGGGGUUGUUAAUUCAGUUGUGAAAGUUUGCGGCUAAACCGUAAAAUUGAAAUUGAUACUGGCAGUCUUGAGUACAGUUGAGGUAGGAGGAAUUCGUGGGGUAGCGGGGAAAGGCUU
rnacentral:rRNA from 1 species